CAUUUAUUUAUAAAUAUAUUUAUUAUAUUUGAUUUUUUGUGCAACCUUAAACAACAGUUAUUUUAAAAUCAUUUUUUUUUUAUUACAAUGCUGUUGUUCCUUCAAGAAAUGCUUCAACCAUGUGUAAAUGUACAUGUAUAUAACAUAGAAAAUACAUUAACCAGACGCAUGUACACUGAAAAGUAACAAAUAUGAUGAUUUAGAAUAUUUCUAGGUAUUAAGAAAACUUACUUCAGUCAGAGCAUGUAGCUGUCCCUCGUGUACACACACUCCUAGAAAUCUAAAAGAGAAAUUGUUUACCAUUUCAAUAUUGAAAAUUGCAUUGGCUAAAUAUUCAGUCAAAUCUAAACCAUGCCAGUCGUCAUAGGCUCAUAGCUAAAAAUGCAUUUCUAAUGUUAAAGAAUCCACAUUAGGAUGACCUAAGGCAAAGGUCAUGUCAUAGGUGUUGAUUCAGCAAUAUGACGUUCACCUCAAGGUCAAAUUAACAGAAUUAGUAUGCAUUUAUAUAUGAUAAUUCAACUUUUACCAGUGCUGAUAGAGUUGACAAACAUCUCCAAAGAUGCAAUGAAACUGCGCUAUGUGGCACUCAAUUGUAUAGACAUUUAUGCCAUUUGAAAAUGUUUGCAUAAGAAAUCGUAUAUAGCAAGGCCUUUUUUCAAAUUGGACCCUGUUUCUGCAUUAAAAAUCUGAAUCUUACUGGCAACAUUUUUUGACAAUGAAUAAAAUCACAUCUCCUCUAACUGUUAUUUACUUCUCCAGUGUAACGGUUAGAGAAGAUCUGAUUUUAAUUAGAUUGAAAGCAACUUUGAACCUUUUUAAUUUUUACCCUUUAAUAACUAAAUUCACUACAAUAUGGCUAUUUUAAUACACUCCAUAAUGAAGUAACGGAAUGGCCAUGAACACCAUAAUAACCAUACAUUGGACUUCACCACUUUCAUUAUCCUUUGUAAAUUGCCAAUGAUCUGCCAUGAUUUUAUCAGCAAAUGACAUUCAAUUUAGAUAAAAUAAGUUCUAUACCCUACUUCUUAAGAGGUGAUUAAAGUACUAGCAUUUUAGCAAGUAAAACCCAUGAACAAGUGACCUCAUACGGCUAUUAGGCUGUCAACAGGUAAACUUCUCUCCAUUACAUUUUGUUGUUCUGGACCAAUGCAUUUUAAGUAGGAUGUAAAAGGAACAUAAAUAAAAAAGAUCUAACACUUUACUCUCUUUGUAUGUACAUAUUUUAAACAGGUGUCAAAAAACUUUUAAUUUUCAUUCACUUUCAGUUCUCCAACAUGAACUAUAAUACUAUAUAUAUAUCAAAAUAUGCCAGCCUUUAUGAUAAUACAAAAUAUUAUCUGAAUACAAUUUUUUUUCUUCUAAAAACAGACUCAAAGUUUAACACAAAUACAUAUGCUUGUAUUCAUAUACGAGUGUUGAUGUCCGAAUAAGACAUUUACAGCAUCCUGUUAAGACUAGAGCUGUUGUGUAUUUAACUCAAGAUGAAUAUAUCUAGGUUAAGUGUAAAACUGCAUCAACAAAUCCACUUAAUAACUUGACAUGAAUUAGUUUUAGCAAGAAGAAUUUUAUUAUUAACAAGAUUCAAGUGUGCUCUACUGUGAAUAAAACCACGACUUCCAUUUAUCAAAUUUUCACACAACCAGAGAAAACCGGCUCCCUCAGCAGACAUUGGGAAUUGUAAUCAUAAUUCACACUUUUAUAUUUUUUUCCCUUCUCAAUUUACUGAAAAAUUACUUAAUGAAAAUAUGUAUUUUCAUCAUGCUCUGCAAAAGUUUAUAAUUCUAGGAUGCACAUCUGGUUUUCCUGCGUUAUAUCACUUAAUAAUAGAUAAAGCAUCACAAACACAAAAACAUCAACAUCUCCAUCAUUUGAUGUCGACAUUUGUUAAGUCAUCGCUUGUUGUUUGUUGUUUGACCUUGACAUGAUGGGUGCCCGCUUCCCCCUGCUAACAGCAAGGCGCUUUACUGUACGAUCAAUGCACCAAGAUCAUCCACCCUUUCCUCCAAACAUUAAAUAGCUGGAGCUGAUGACUCUUUAACAACAGAAAAAGCUGAUCUGGCAACUGUGCCGAAAGUUGUUGCAAAAUAAAAUAAAAACCAAAUUGUGGCAAUUCUAGACAGUUCUGGGCACUACAGAUAAGAAUACUAGAUGCAAAAACAAUAUCUGUUUAGUAAUUGGCAGUUUCUGAAAACAAGCUUGGUACACCUUUAACAAAUUACUGACACUGGUUAAAGUACCUCAGGAAACAAAUGUUUACUUGACUGAUUAGUAAAUGAAUUACCACUUUGGGAUGGAUAUAUUUACUGUUCAGUUAAGUACUUUUCUUUGAAUUGUCAACCACAAAAUAAACCACAUCUACAUAGUUAUUGUAUAGUGAAAUUUACACAUUGAAAAGUAUGUACCUUUCCAACAUGUAUAUAUAAUUAUCAAUAAUUUAUCAAAUUACUAUGUAAAUUGCCAGUUAUUUUAUGACAAAAACAUAUCAAAAACUUAUCUUUAGUUCCUAUAACAAUUUUGGAUACAGAGAGAACAGAAAGAAAAUUUUACACUUCAUAUAUUUACGAUAAAAAAAAAAAAACAACUCUGAAUAAAACCUACAACUCUUGUGUGUUACACUGUACUUUUACUUGUAUCUCAGGGCACACAAGAAAAAAAUAUGUAGGACUCCAAAGUGAGAUAGGACUCCAAAGUGUGAUGGUCUGUGCCAAACCCGAUGGUGUGACACACCAAAGUGCAAUUGUCCAUACUUAUGCAUCAAAGUGCUAUAGUGUGACACACCAAAGUGCAAUGGUUUGACACACCUUAGUGCGAUGGUGUGAGAUGAAUUCCCAAAAGUGUGAUGGAGUGAUACGCCAAAGUCCGUUGAUUUACAAAAUUUAAUGGACACAAUGUGUACAGACUUCACCAACCGUUGAUGUUUCACCAAAAGAAUGUUUUGCAUUAUAACACCCCCCCCCCCACCCCCCCGAAAUUUAUUACAUGUACAUCACAAGUAAUAAAUGAUCUGAUUAAAGUAUGUUUGGGGGAAGUAGAUAUUUCAACAAAAAAUGUACUUUGCAGUUCUCACAAUCCUCAACAGUGUAAACCUUGCCCUUGCUAUUGUCGAUGUCAUUAAUCACUCAUGCCAUCCUUCAAUAUCCCUAAGACGCUGGUGUCAGCAGAGAGAAUCUUUGCUGGGCCAAACUGUUGUUGCAACUCUUCAGUUUGAAAGACAUUACAAAUGACGACAUAAUAACAUGACGUCAAAAAUGUUACUCUACCCCCACACCAUCAGAUUUUGAGUGUCAGACCAUUGCACUUUGGUGUGGUGCACUUACAAAUGACGGACCAUCGCACUUUGGUGUGGUGCACCUACAAAUGACGGACCAUCGCACUUUGGUGUGGUGCACCUACAAAUGACGGACCAUCGCACUUUGGCGAGCCAGACCAUCUCACUUAGGUAUAGUGUGCCUAUAGGAGAGGGACCAUCCUACUUUGGCAUAACCAUUGCACUUUGGCGUCCGUAACGUUAACAAACCAUCUCACUUUGGCGCAGACCUUCGCACUUUGGAGCGACCAUCGCACUUUGGCGCAGAUCUUUGCACUUUGGAGCAACCAUCACACUUUAAAUAGAGUCUUACAAAUAUAUCACAAUACAUGACAAUUUUAUCUGGGAAAUAUUUGAAUAUAUCAUGAUAUAUGCCUAUAUCAUUAUUACUUGUCUAGAAUUGAAUGUGUUUCUUCAUUAACUCACAUAAAUACAGACUUCACAGAUCUUUGAGUAUACUGAAAUUUGCAAUUGUUUACAAAAUUAAGCUAUAGGUGGACAGUUGCUUUUCAUUAUUUCAGUAUUUUGUUCAAAGCUCUGUGUGUCUUAUAAUUUCAGACCCAGGAUUCUUCUGGUCAUGCAGGUACAACUCUUAGGUUGAGCAUCGUCAAUGAGUGUAGAUCAAAAUUGCCCAUCUAUAUGCCAAUAAUGGGAAUAACCAUUGUAGAAUGCUUAUAAUACAUAUUAGAUUGGACACCAGAAUCCCCCGUGACAGACUUGACACUACAGUUUACACCGAUUUAACAAGGUAAUUAAGUGGGUAAUACUUCAGUGAUUUUUCUACAUUUUUUACAAGGGUCCUGUGGCUUUCCAAUUGGGAAAAAUUGUCGACAUUUCAGUCAAAUUGGGUAAAAUCAAUUUUAUCGUAAAUAAGUUUUAAAAUCAUAUCAUAACAUUAUAUCUUUAUUUUACACAUCUGAUUUUCUUAAUUCUUCUAAAAUUUUCAACUAUUCUAUCCAAAUCAUCAUUCUCAUAACUCUUUGUUAAGUCGUAUAUAUAAUUCACAUCAAAUGUUUAUUGUUUUGAAAUACAUUUUUCUUUCAUAAAUUUUAUUAUUGGGAAUAAUGCAAGCUAAAUUGGGAAAAAAUUGACAAUUUUUAGGAGGGGAAAGGGACGAAAUUCGGACCAAAAAUGGGCCUUAAAAAUCAUUGUACUUAUCACAGUUUGUUUCAAAAUUCACUCAAACUCAUGUACAAAAUACAACUUAAAUUUAGCUCAAACCUUGUAAUACAAAAACUGCAAUAUUUAUACAAGAAAAAAAUUAAUGAUGAAAAUAUACUCUAGAAUGACCACAGAAAAUAUCUACCAUUUAAAAUCAAUUAUCAAGCCCUUAGGUAUACAUAACUGGUCGUGUGCAAUAUCAAAAUAGACAGUGACUGCUCCUUUUAAUACCAAACACUUGGCAUUUAGAAGUGAGAGUUGCAGAUCUUUAAGAUGAGACCUUAAAAUUGAUAAAUCAUGCUAGUCUUGGGCAUAGUGCAUAGGUGACAGGUCUUAUGAAAACUUCACCUACAAGCUGGCUAUGUCUGUUAGCAUACUUGAUUCUAACGAUCCGGCGCAUCCAGGUUAAUCGACGAUGACCGGCGACACACUUGAUUGUGAGCCAGAAUUGCACACGCAUCCCGCAGGGUAAGCCGAUUGAGCAAAAUUUUGAUAGGCGAAGGCGGCUUCAAGCUGGCAUCCUUGGAGACAGUUAGUAUCGAGAGUUGCUUAUUCUAAGACAAAAUGUUUUUAAUUUUCACACUGGUGAAAUAAACAUGAUUUGUAAAUAUGUUGGUCAUUUCUAUGCCGAAUAAUGUUUAGACAAAAGAAGGUCAACAUUUUCAUUACUGUACUGCAGCAGGGUCACUUGAUUCUUAGCACGUCGCCGGGUAUACCUGACUUAGCUUGAUUCUUAGCGCGUCGCCGGGUAUACCUGACUUGAUUCGGCCGGAUUUUUUCAGAAUCAAGUAUGCUAUCUAUUAUAUCCGUGUGAAAAAUUCUCAAUAGGAUAUAUUUACAUUACCAAUUUUUUGCCUUUCAUAUCUUUACCAAUUGUAAUGACAGCCAUUUCCUCAUGAAUGUGAUGCAGUUGUGAACAAUGCACGUAUGAAUCUUGAUAUAGUAUGUCUAUUUUAACAGCUGGGAAUUCAGACAGAAAUGAAAGCAAAAUAAAAAUUGAAUUUCAUUUUUGAAAACGCAUGAGAGUAUGAAUUGCAACGCUUCAAGCCGGCACACUUUUAAUGAAGCGCUAACAUACUUCAUGUAGUGUGCCGGUGUGAAGUGCCACAUUUCAUACCCUCAUGCAUUUUCAAAAAAGUAAAACAAACAAGCAAGAGAUGUUUUGUAAAACAUAUAUGCUCCCCCAUGGUGCAAAAUUGAAAAAGGGUUAUACACAUGCAUCAUUUAACUGAUAGUAGUAUCACCAAUUCAAAAUAUUGAGCAGACAAUAUCUUCCUAUGUCAAGAGUGGAUUGACCAUGUGACCUAAAAAUCAAAAGGGGUCAUCUACCCCUUAUACUGUACAAGUGUACCAAGUUUGGUGUCAAUCAAGCAAAUAAUUCUUAAAAUAUAGGAGACAAUAUAUUCCUAUGUCCAGUUUGAUGCUUGACCUUUGACCAAGUUACCUCAAAAUCAAUAGAGGUCAUCUUCUCCUAAAGAUGUACCAGUGUACUAAUUUUGAUGUCUGUCAAGCAAAGGGUUCUCUAGACAUUGAGUGGUUAGUAUAUUCCUAUGUCCAGUUUGACCCUUGACCUUUGACUACAAGAAAACUUUGGAUAGUCUGACCAUACAUAUUUUUUGCCUUUUGGACAUAUGUAUUUAUACAAAUCACAUCUUUCAUAAUUAAAUCAUUUCAUGCCAAUUUGAUAAACUCUUUUAAGGUGUAGUGAGUCACCUUAAAGUAUUGCAUAUUUAUAUACCAUAUUAUGUAUCAAUGUAUUGUAUCAAUCACCUCUAUAUUGUAAUGCACUGAUAUAUCCUUACAACCUUACUUCUUACUAAACACUUGAUAAUGUAGACCACCUUCAUAUAACAAUUAACAACAACACCACUGCAACUCUGUCUUUGAUAUGUCUCAGGGAAAUAUGAACAAUUACGGUAUCUACCUGACCUACCCUAAACCCAGAUCUAUCAAAAUGGCCUACUGUCAGGUGUCAACAUGUUUUAAUUCCAAACAGCAUGUUUUGCUCACACCCAUUUUGAAUUUCCUGAACACUACAUGACAAUAAGGAUGUGAAAUACGAAUCUUGAACUCUCGCAUGUGUUGAAAUGUGUUCUGAAAAAUGUGGGAGCUUCCUUAUGGAGGAAAAGUACACUUUAACCCUAGACACCACACAAAUAGCAUACCAGGUUCUAGACAUAUAUACAAAUUUACACUUAUGAAUAAGUUUAGUUUGGGUGUAAUUGUAAUUUAUUUAUUUCCAAUUUUGAGUCUAGAGGGCUUACAAAGAUUACAAAGUUCACAUACAUAAAUCAUAAACAUGAUAAGAGUGAUUAUCCAAAAGAUAGAUUAAUAGAUAACACGUGAUUAUUAAUUGUACAUGAAGCUAAAAUUGGGUGGGGGUUUUUUUUGUAGACGUUCAAUAUUGAGAUUUAAACUAUGAUGCAUGUACGAACAAUCAUGUCAGCUCACUUAAGAAAUAAUCAUUUUAAAAUACAGAAUUCAGUUACAAAUGCUUAUGAAUGUACCAGUAUGUCAUUGAGGUAAAAAGUAGAUCAUGGAUGUUUUUGUUUACAAAUUCCUCAGCAGAAUGUCCUAAACCACAUGAACCAGGUGCAAUUAUUGAUGUGAUAAGGGGGAAGUUACCAAUCAUAAGUCUGCCAGCAGGAUUCCGUCUAUAGGUGUCCUUACGACUCCUUAGUGUGUGCUUUCAUUGGCACUAAUAAUUGUGUAUGUGGUGAAAGAAAGAUUUUCAUUCUCUUAUACAAGACUUAAGCUAUAUUUCUAUUCUCUUAUACAAGAUUUAAGCUACAUUUUUUCUCCGACUUGCAGGAAUGAUAUAUUGUAUAAAGUUAUUCAUUCUUAUUCGCUGUCAAGGACAAUGGUAUUGAAAUUCCCAAAUAUCUUCUGGACAAGAUUUAGGCUCUAUUUCUCAACCCCCCCUUUUUGGUCACUGAACAUGCUGAAGGGAACUUUGCAAACACACAAUUGUAAAACAUAAAAGAACAAUCAAAUAGAAAUUCCAAAAGUUUUCAUGUACAAGAUUUAACUUCAUUUUUCAGACUUGAAGGAACUAUAUCAUUUAUAGCAUCCUUGGUUACCGAUGAAAGUUCAUGGACAAAGGGUGGGGAAUUUAAAAUAUUUUGUAUGCAAUAAUUCACGAAGAAUAACACAACCAUCAUGAAUUAAAACUAAAGGAUGCAUGUUAUAGAGCAAGAGUUGGAAAUUCUAAAAAUCGCCUAAUGUAGCCAAUAAUAAUAAUAAAAAAAGACAAUACAAUCCUAGUGCAAGUCAUCAAGAACAAAUCAAAACCUCAGUGGAUCUCCAACAUGUGAUCAACAAACUGCCAAGAUGUCUUAAUCCAAUGAACUAAUCAGAGACUGAGAGGUGAUGAAAAAAAAGAAUAUACUUCUAAUUUUAUUUCUGCCACAUUAGUGUACUUUCAUUUGAAAAUUGUGAAUACCUAUAUUCAUCCUUAUUAAAGCUUCAUUUGUCAUCCAAAUUUUAUCACACUUGUAGGAAUGGUAAUUCGUAUUUGUAGAAUUGGGUCCUAUCAGUUUUAAGGUUAUUUGUAUAAGGUCAAGGGCACUGUCAGGGUAAUUACCUUGUAAACUACUUACUACUUUUUGUUGUGUGGUUUGUAUCUGACCUCAAAUGCAUCUGUAAGGAUGUUAUUUAAAACCAAGAAUAUUGAUUCAUGCUGGUUUUCAAAUUUAAACGUAGGUCUUGGUCACUGGAAUGAAAAUUCCAAAAUUCUUUCUGUUUCUGAUUUCAACAUAGCAUUUAU